rnacentral:tRNA from 1 species
GGCCCCGUGGUCUAACGGUUAGGACAGCGGCCUUUCACGCCGCAGGCGGGAGUUCGAUUCUCCCCGGGGCUA